UACAGAGGUCUCAACCGUUGUUCGGAUUCAUUGGGCGUAAAGGGUGCGUAGGCGGUCGCGCAAGUCGGAUGUGAAAUCUUGGGGCUCAACCCCGAAACUGCAUUCGAUACUGCGUGGCUCGAGUACUGGAGAGGAGACUGGAAUUUACGGUGUAGCAGUGAAAUGCGUAGAUAUCAGAAGGAACACCCAUGGCGAAGGCAGCUCGCUGGCCUACAACUGACGCUGAGGCGCGAAAGCGUGGGGAGCAAACAGG
rnacentral:rRNA from 1 species